AGCUAGUCCUGGUGCAGUGGUGUUUACAAUUGAUUAAUCACAAUCAAUUACGGGUUUCUUUGGUCCUUCUCCAGUUCUACUGCUUCACUUGACUAGCCAUAG
rnacentral:Y_RNA from 1 species